AUUGAACGCUGGCGGCAUGCCUUACACAUGCAAGUCGAACGGCAGCGGACCUUCGGGUGCCGGCGAGUGGCGAACGGGUGAGUAAUGUAUCGGAACGUACCUUUCAGUGGGGGAUAACGUAGCGAAAGUUACGCUAAUACCGCAUAUUCUGUGAGCAGGAAAGCAGGGGAUCGCAAGACCUUGCGCUGAUUGAGCGGCCGAUAUCAGAUUAGCUAGUUGGUGAGGUAAAGGCUCACCAAGGCGACGAUCUGUAGCGGGUCUGAGAGGAUGAUCCGCCACACGGGAACUGAGACACGGUCCAGACUCCUACGGGAGGCAGCAGUGGGGAAUUUUGGACAAUGGGCGAAAGCCUGAUCCAGCCAUGCCGCGUGUCUGAAGAAGGCCUUCGGGUUGUAAAGGACUUUUGUCGGGGAGGAAAUCCCCAGCGUUAAUACCGCUGGGGGAUGACAGUACCUGAAGAAUAAGCACCGGCUAACUACGUGCCAGCCGCCGCAGUAAAAC
rnacentral:rRNA from 1 species